rnacentral:misc_RNA from 1 species
GAUUCUAACAACUCUAAACCCUCAAAUGUAACACCCCAACGGUUGGGUGCAGGACCUGAAAUAUAAGCGCAUGCUCUUUCAUCUGUAUCCUUUAAAAACACCUGCUGAAAUUGUAACUCAGAUGGAGAUGGUCGAAACACAAUUGGAACAGAAGCAGGUGCUGUCUCAGAAGUUGUAGUUGCUGUGACUGUACCAAGGUAAUCUAGAAUACAAGACUCAAUUUCUU